GUCAAGCUAAUGACGUUAAACAAGCGUUGUGGGGGAGGCAACCCAUGGUUUUUCUUUUCAUUUUACUUUUUUCGCAUUUAUUUACAUUUUUUUAUUUUAUCUUAUUUUGCAUUGAGACUAAAGUUUGAAUGGUUUGUAUUUUCAGGAUCACUUUCCUAACUUUUACAGGAUGCAGGGUUUUGAUGACAUGCAUGUCGCCUAUAGAGACAAUGCUCAGAGGGAGCGCUACAUUGCUUUAUACCAGCGCCCU
rnacentral:lncRNA from 1 species